rnacentral:lncRNA from 1 species
UCAUCACUUCUCACAAUGUUGAAUGGAAAUUCAUACCUGACCACAGACACAUCAAUUGCAAUCAGCUGAAGCCAGUUGGUUAAUUAGGAUUCAGACAGAGGCGCUGUGCCUAUAAAAGACCAGCUUGGUUGUUUGGGAGUCAAAGCUGGGGUCUUGCUGUAGCAGUGGUGAGGAGGAGAGUGUUGUGUUUGGGACUUUGAGUCAAACCAUUGAUGUUGACUAUGACUCUUGGCGUGACAGUCAGGUUGCUUUGGAUAUGCCUUUUCCUAAGUGAAAUAUGCUGUCUGCAACUUCAAGAAGGGCUGAAAGGUCACCAGAGAUUUGGAAAAAACACUUAUGGUGAUGUUGAGGGUCCCUCAUCAGGGCAGGAGCGCUACCUUAUGAUUACAGCGCCAUCAGGUUUUCAAACGCGCUACGUGGUUAAAUCCUUCAAUCGUUACGUGCUUGGAAAAAGGGUAUUUUCUGAAACCACCUACAUCCCACUGGACUUCCUUCCAACCGAUGCUGCUGCUGCUGCUGCUCCAGUUGCUUAUGACCCAAGUUUUCCUGGACAUGAAGCCCAGGCUGACCAAACUGUGGAUGUCAAAGGGUGACUUUGAGAGCGCUUUGUCAUGAAGUGAGUGUUUAAAUUCGAAUGCCUUUUUUUCUCUACAGAAAAGGAUUGGUUUUCCCAGUUGACCUCCUGUGCCAUGUAGGUAUUGUUUUAUUUGAACUUCUGUUCCUCAUUCUGUGUUCUUUCCAGGUCCUGGACUCAAACCUUGAUGGAUAUCUAUCUACGCUUGACUUCAUAGUGUAGAUGAAACAAUAAAGGCUUUUCUCUAAUUUUGUAUGUUUCCUUU